UACGGAGGGUGCAAGCGUUAUCCGGAUUCACUGGGUUUAAAGGGUGCGUAGGCGGGCAUUUAAGUCAGUGGUGAAAUACCUGAGCUUAACUUGGGAACUGCCAUUGAUACUAUUUGUCUUGAAUGUCGUGGAGGUUAGCGGAAUAUGUCAUGUAGCGGUGAAAUGCUUAGAUAUGACAUAGAACACCUAUUGCGAAGGCAGCUAACUACGCGAAUAUUGACGCUGAGGCACGAAAGCGUGGGGAUCAAACGGG
rnacentral:rRNA from 1 species